rnacentral:rRNA from 1 species
GUGAACGCUGGCGGUAGGCCUAACACAUGCAAGUCGAACGGCAGCACAGUAAGAGCUUGCUCUUACGGGUGGCGAGUGGCGGACGGGUGAGGAAUACAUCGGAAUCUACUUUUUCGUGGGGGAUAACGUGGGAAACUUACGCUAAUACCGCAUACGACCUACGGGUGAAAGCAGGGGAUCUUCGGACCUUGCGCGAUUGAAUGAGCCGAUGUCGGAUUAGCUAGUUGGCGGGGUAAAGGCCCACCAAGGCGACGAUCCGUAGCUGGUCUGAGAGGAUGAUCAGCCACACUGGAACUGAGACACGGUCCAGACUCCUACGGGAGGCAGCAGUGGGGAAUAUUGGACAAUGGGCGCAAGCCUGAUCCAGCCAUACCGCGUGGGUGAAGAAGGCCUUCGGGUUGUAAAGCCCUUUUGUUGGGAAAGAAAAGCAGCAGGUUAAUACCCCGCUGUUCUGACGGUACCCAAAGAAUAAGCACCGGCUAACUUCGUG